rnacentral:lncRNA from 1 species
AUGGGGGGUGAGGAGAAUUUUUGGGAAUUUUUUGGGGGAUUUUUUGAGGGAUCUGAGGAUGCUCUGGGGGAAUUUAGGGGGAAUUUUGGGGGAUUUUGGGAUUUUUUGAGGUUUUUUUUUGGUUUUUGGGGGGAAUUUUGGGAGGAUUUUGGGAUUUUUGGGGAUUUUUUUGGGGAUUUUUUUGGGGGGAUUUCGGGAUUUUUGGGGGGUCUGGGGAGGUUGGGGGGUCUGGGGGGAAUUUCUGGAAUUUUUUGGGAAUUUUUGGGAUUUUUUUUGGAUUUUUUUUUUAUUUUUUUUGGAGAGUUACUGGGAGUUACUGGGAGUUACUGGGAGGGCACUGGGAGUUACUGGGAGUUACUGGGAGUUACUGGGAGUUACUGGGAGUUACUGGGAGGGCACUGGGAGUCACUGGGAGUUACUGGGAGUUACUGGGAGUUACUGGGAGUCACUGGGAGUUACUGGGAGUUACUGGGAGGGCACUGGGAGUUACUGGGAGUUACUGGGAGUUACUGGGAGUUACUGGGAGUCACUGGGAGUCACUGGGAGUCACUGGGAGUUACUGGGAGUUACUGGGAGUUACUGGGAGUCACUGGGAGUCACUGGGAGGGCACUGGGAGUGACUGGGAGUCACUGGGAGUUACUGGGAGUUACUGGGAGUCACUGGGAGUCACUGGGAGGGCACUGGGAGUUACUGGGAGUUACUGGGAGGGCACUGGGAGUUACUGGGAGUCACUGGGAGUUACUGGGAGUUACUGGGAGUUACUGGGAGUCACUGGGAGUUACUGGGAGUUACUGGGAGGUCACUGGGAGUUACUGGGAGGUCACUGGGAGUUACUGGGAGUUACUGGGAGGUCACUAGAGGUCACUGGAGGUCACUGGAGGUCACUGGGAGAAGGGGGCGGGGCCAUCCCCAGCUCAGCCAAUCAGGCGCCAGCACCCCCGGGAAACCCCGCCCCUUUAUGCAAAUCCCCAUUCCCACACCAGCCAAUCAGAAGCCGGCAUGCAAAUGAGCUGUGA